AGCCUUAUAGUCUAAUAAGGAUAAUAAACUGCAAAUUUAUUGGUGGGGUAAACCUAAGGCUU
rnacentral:tRNA from 1 species